CGAAAAUGAUUAUGCAUUUUAGAAGCAUCAAUUAAGUAUUUACAGAAAAAAAAAAUCUUGCAUAUAUUUCUGAUUAUUACCUCCCUUUUGCAGGCCAGAGGGCUCUUCUUGGCAGCUUACAGUACUACUAGAAGAGGAGCAUGCAAUUAGUAAAACAUAUGGUUUAAAGUUUAUGUAUGUAAUGUGUUGCGCACUGCUUAAGCAUAUAAACUAUAUAAAAAAAAUAAAGUACAAACAUAAAACACUUUCUCCACGUAGAGUUACUUUCACAAGCCAUGCCUGCCAUUUCUCACUAAACUAUACUACCCAUUAAGCCAAUUAUACUCCAAGAGAACCCUCACAUUAAACUUUAGUCCUCUCGAUCUCCUCUGGAUAUAACCCAAUAUAUAUAACCAAUUCUAUUGUGAACUUUUGAGGAUGACAUUAACUAAGCCAUUUUGCUUAGUUUCAUUUUCCUUAAGAAGAAGUAGGCCAGUUGGCGAUAUGCAACAAUCAUCACUGUCAUUGCUACCACUUCUUUUCCACCAUGAUCUAGUCUUAAAUUGGUGACAAGGGGAGAUUGACAAUGGCUUGAACCAGGAGCUGGAUCUGAGCAAGGGUAUUGUAUCCUCAGGAGUAGCCUGUAUGUGUGAUAGUUGAAAGAAAUGUAGCGAACCCAUGACAUGAAGGUUGGAACUUUCUGAAGAAAUAAUCCGCCAGAUAACAUGAAGGUCAUGAGAAUAAUGGAAGCCAGUGUUGUUGCUUUCUUUACAUCCAUGAAUGCUGCACCUAUAGCAAGUCCAAGGCCCUGAGAAGCCACAAUGCUGAGAAAAACUGUAAGCAAGGUCAGAGAAAAUGCAGGAAAGCUCAACUUCAAUCCCACCAUAAAAUAGACUAUCACAAGGAACACUGUAGGCAUUAUUAGAUCCAAAGGAAGAUCACUGAUGUUUCUUGCAGCAAAGUAUGCGCUGAGUCUGUACAUGCCAACUCCUCUCUCUUUAGCAAGGAUUGCUCUUUCUUGUGGGAAUGUGAAUAUGGCAGUAAAUAAAGGAAAAAAGCCCCAAAAUACUGAAAUGAAGAAUAACAACCCUGCCUGCGGGCACCAUCGAAAACAGUGCAAAAAGGAAAAUAAUAAAUGUAUUGAUGUCGUAAGGAGGAAAAUAAUAAGAAAAUGGCCACACUUGCCUGAUCUUCUAAGUGCUCAGGAGAUGAAGCAUCAGAAUGCCACCAAAGCAAUCCUGUUAUUAUAGCAGUGGCUACAACCUGAGUUAUACGCAUAAAACUUAAGUAUUCAUGGCGUCGCUCUUUGAAGCUCCUGCGGACAAGAAUUAAGAAUUGAUCCCACCAAGUUGCCCCCCAUUCCCUUGGACUCAAUUUUCCAUGAAUCUCUAUCUCGCCUUCAAUCACAACAGGCUGUAGGGACUUCUCUUUCUCCAUUGUUCCCACUUUUGCUUCAUAAGCCUCCAGAAGAUACUCAUGGACAUCGGUAGGGGAAAGCCCUUCCUUUAUUGUCUCUAGUUUUCUAUUUCCAGGUACGAACUUGUCCUCCAAUUCUGAAGGAACUGAUUUAUCAUUUAUGUUUCCAUUUGCAAGAUCAAUCAGAAACUCUGCUGGGUUCAUGGCUAUAAGUGGAUUGCAACCAAUUGAAGAGAAAUACAUCAUUGCUUCUGAUGCCUUUCCAAAGUACAAGGAACUUCCAUUUCCCAAUAGAAUAAGCUUGUCGAACUUACUGAAGAGCCUACUAGAAGGCUGGUGUAUCGUGGUCACCACUGUCUUGCCAGCCUAGGUACGCAAAACAUAAAUAUAUAAUCCUUGAUGCUAAUUACAUUUUCAAUCAAAUGUUAAUUUUCCCAAAGUUUUAGUACCUUUGCCAUGUCCUGUAGAAUCUGAACAAUUCUAAGUGCAGUUGUCGAGUCCAGACCUGAUGUUGGCUCAUCCAGGAGUAGAAGUGAUGGGUUGAGAAGAAUCUCAUGGCCAAUGCAGACCCUUUUUCUCUCCCCACCUGAUAUCCCUCUCACAAAUUUUCCACCAAUUACUGUAUUUUGACUCCUGGAAUAUAUUGAAGUGAUUGUUAAUGUUUUCUACUACAUAACCAAUUAUCUAUAAUCAUAGUUAUCAACAUUGCCAGAAAAAGUGUAGCAGAAGGAGAGCCCAUUGCCCCAGCCAACAGGACUAUUACUAUCCUGACCUUUCAACUACGUAGUACAAAGUUGAGCUGUAGAGAGCUCAGUUUAUUGAAUUCUUCACAAUAAUUACUGUUCAUUACCACCUAAGAAGGCAGACAAUUUUCAGUGAGUUGCAUCAUCUGUUUCUAAGCGGAAAAAUGGAACUACACUGUACUUAUUCUCCGCACAUUCGCUCGGAUACUUGUUCCAUCUUGCAGAGUCUCCAAAUUUCCCUUCCCUGGACCUCACUUUUUUCAAAUUUUAGUUUUUGAAUACUUUAGGAGAUUAAUUUUAGUAAACUUUCUUCAUCUUAGCCCCUCAUUGAAAGUAUUUGAGGAAACUAGAAGUUUACAGUAAAGUUUAUGCAGAUAGAAAUCAGGAAAUCACCGUUCAAGGCCUAGCUCACUUAUAACAUUCAGGGCUCUUUCUUUCUUCUGUUCUCUAGUCAAAAUGUUGGGAAGACGGAGCAAUGCAGCGUAAGUAAGAGUUUCUUUAACUGUUAGGUGGGAAAACACAAUAUCAUCUUGUGUCACAAAGCCAAUCCUCCGAUUCAGGGACUUGUUAUAUGGUUGAUCGUUGUAAGUGAUUGCACCACUGUUGAAUUUGACCCUUCCACUGAGAAGAUUGAGCAGAGUUGUUUUACCGCAUCCUGAUGGUCCCAUAAGAGCAAGAACUUCACCUGGAUGGGCUGAUCCAGUGAUUCCAUGAAGUAUGUACUUCUCAGCAUAGACCUUGUAUUUGACAUCCUGGAACCUGAGAGCUAUAGGUAAUGUAGGUUCAAUCUGUAGUUUACUCAACUUGCGGAAAUCUGAGUCCUCCUUGGGAGUUGAUGAAGAUUGACACAUUGCAGUAUUCCCUGUCUUAUCGAAGCUUCCAGCAGAAACAUUGUCGAAAAGAUCAUCGAUAUUGACCAAGAAACUAUCAUUGAAUGACUUUGUUUUACGCACAAGGUUGUCAUUUGGGGAAGCAGCCUUGUUGUCUAAGCUCUGCAUUCUUAGCUCAGUAAUUCCAGCUUCGUUAUUGUUAUCUUCUGGUUGUACAGGGCUUGAGGAUUUGAAACCAAAUUUCCAUGCUGGCACUGACAUGGUGUCCUUUCCUGAACUCAACCCAACAAAUCUGUCGGAAAGCUCGCGUCCCAGUUCUUUGUUCACCUCCAUCAAUGUUGAAAAAUGAAAUUGAAAUUAGAGAAGCAAUGCAAGCGCUCCAAGCCACCGAGACAAGGAUAUGCAGUGCCUCAAGUCAGCUUAUAUAGGCCACCCGCUUGUACUACGAUG
rnacentral:misc_RNA from 1 species